GGGUUAGGGUCGUUUAGGACUAGGGUUAGGGCUGUUUAGGGUGAGGUUUAGGGUCGUUUAGGGUUAGGGUCAUUUAGGUUUAGGGUCGGUUAGUGUUAGGGUUAGGGUCGUUUAGGGUUGGGGUCAUUUAAGUUUAGGGUUGUUUAGGUUUAGGGUUAGGGUCGUUUAGGUUUAGGGUUAGGGUCGUUUAGGGUACGGUUGUUUAGUGUUAGGGUUGUUUAGGAGUAGGGUUAGGGCUGUUUAGGGUGAGGUUUAGGGUCAUUUAGGGAUAGGGUCAUUUAGGGUUGUUUAGGGUUAGGGUCGUUUAGGGUUAGGGUUAGGGUCGGUCAGGGGUAGGGUCGUUAGGGUUAGG
ensembl:lncRNA